ensembl:lncRNA
CCUGGAGCAUCCUCGUGUCCGAGCAGAGCCCUGCGGUGAGCAGAGAGGAGCUGGGGGCAUUUCGCUGCCUCCUCUCCGUGUUGUCCCACUGACCCAUAAACCCUCGUGGGGGGGGUUUGGGAUUCCUCCCGCUGUGGCUGUGCCCGAGGGCUGCUCUUCUCCCAGCAGCAGCCGUGCGCCCGGUGCUGCUCUCUGAACCACUGCCUUUUCCAAUUGCAUUUUUCCACUCGGAGUCACUCAGUCGUCACCUCAUUGCGUUGGGAGGACUCCCACAUCCCACUGCCCCCUCCAGCUGCAGCCGGGGCUGUCAGACCUUCAAAGGAAUUCGGGGCUUUCCCCCCACCCCUGCCUAUCUGUGCCCUCACACAAAGGAACGGAACCAAGCCCGUGCCCGAGCUCCCAGCCAGGAGCCCUCAGCAGCAGAACGUGUGAGCGUUACCCAUAUAGGGAGGUGCAGAGGGCUGGUGGUGCACGGGGAGCUCUGCAUCCCCCCCGCGGCCCUCAGCCUGCAGCCCCCUCCCGCUCGUG